UUGGAAGGAAUACAACCGACGUUGAGACAGGUACCGCCGAGAGUGCCGCGCUUCUCGAUACAGGUGGUCUUGAGACCAAGCUGGGCAGCUUUAAUGGCGGCCACAUAGCCGCCGGGGCCGCCACCAAUUACAACGACGUCGUUUUCAUCAGAUCCAGCAGAGGCGAAACCCCUAGAGAAGGAAGUGAGCGAGAGAGAAUACCGCAGAACACCACAUGAGUAGAGAUUCUUGCUUCUUCUCGCUAGAGCCAUCGCCAUUAUCUUCCUUUUUCCC
rnacentral:lncRNA from 1 species